GACAGCAUGAACGAAGAGUAACCUGCCUGCCAAGCCAGCUGAAGCGGCACAGAAGUACGGCAGCAGUAUGAGCAGAUGGUGGCCCUGGUCAAGCAGAGGGGACCUCCCCGAUGCUGCUGAUUCACUUUCUGAGGCGUCAGGCCAUUCCAGUAGAGAACAUACACCCAAUGAUCUUCUUAACGAAACAAAACAGGAGGGUUUGCGUGAAGAUCCUGACUUGGAGCAGACGCAAAUGGAGUAUCUUAAUGAAAUCUUGCCAGGCGACGUAACCAAUCCUGAUCUCUGCAACUAUCAUCUUAAUGAUAGUCCACCUUUUGGAUCAUUAGAGGUUUAUCAUGCUGGCACUCACAUCAUUACUCUUGGCUGGGCUCCAAACGAACAGCAAGUGGAAUCUCAUUAUCACGUUCUCUACUCUUGCAAAAUCAAGUCACAGACUAUCCAGAUCACAGAUUCCUGCAAAGUAGACAUCGGGGACCUUUGGCCUGGGACGCGAUACACUUUCAGUAUCAUUAGGAUUACUGACGGAAAACAUAGUAAAUCGGCAUCUGUAUCGGUCU